UGAAAAAUACAAAUGAUCAAACGAUGACUAUUAUAUAGAUUUGAUAGAAUUACUUAGUAGAGAAAAGCAAACAAUGUUUGAUAAGAAGAGAGGAAGAAGAUGCAAGAAAAUCACCUCUUUUCCAUGAGAAAUACAAAGAAAAUGGAAAGCAGCUUUUACGGUCAAAAUGGUGGGAAAACAGGGACAUACUAUAAUUUUGGUGAGAAAACAAAUUGGCAAAUAUUUU
rnacentral:lncRNA from 1 species